GACGUAGGGGGCCAGCGUUGCUCGGAAUUACUGGGCGUAAAGGGCGCGUAGGCGGCCACUGCAAGUCAGUUGUGAAAUCUCCGGGCUUAACCCGGAAAGGUCAACUGAUACUGCAGGGCUAGAGUGCAGAAGGGGCAACUGGAAUUCUCGGUGUAGCGGUGAAAUGCGUAGAUAUCGAGAGGAACACCUGCGGCGAAGGCGGGUUGCUGGGCUGACACUGACGCUGAUGUGCGAAAGCCAGGGGAGCGAACGGG
rnacentral:rRNA from 1 species